rnacentral:tRNA from 1 species
GAGGGGAUAGCUUGGUGGCAGAGUGUGUGCUUAGCAUGCACGAGGUCCUGGGUUCAAUCCCCAGUACCUCCA